rnacentral:lncRNA from 1 species
CCAUACCGCGGACAAGACCACUGUACCGCGACGCCAUCAUGUACAGUAACACUUGUCCCUGGGCACUAUUUAUGAAGUGACCUAGGGGACAAGUGUGACACUCACCCAUGCCCCCAUGCCACUAGCUAGCUUACAUACUAAGCUACCUCACACUAUAAAAGGAGACACACAUCCAUCCAUCCAUCCAGGGGAUGGACUCUCACGCACACACCCACAAGCAUGCUAGCUAGUAAGAGAGCUAGCUAGCCAUCCAUCCAUCCAUCCACACAACACACACACACACGCAUGGCACUCACAUGCUCACGGCCAUGAGCAUGGCCGACCACUAGCAUGCCUCAUAUAGGCAUAUACCAGAUCAGAUGCACUUGGCACUGAUCCCAGAUACAACUCCAGGAGCACUUUGUACUGCCCAAUAUACACCCCAGAUAGAUACACUCAGACAUGCAGCAGUAGUAGUAUUAUCUCUCCAGAGAGCUCCGAAGCUAGGUAAACCACCGCGUGCUACUCGCAUACCCGCUCCUAUUCCUAUCAGCAGCAGUCUUACCCUCACACUAAGCCCUUGUGGCAUCUGUUGACUCGCAAGCCCCCCGUGAGAAUACAACGACAGUUGGCGCCCACCGUGGGGUGGUACUACUACUAUGCUACCACGCUGCUGCUGGUUUCGCAGUCCGGGCGGGACCAUUUUCGCCUUCACCGCCGCGGCGUCGCGCCGUCUCUCUAGUAGCGGUCGGGGGCUCGACGUCGACACGCCCCCGGAGUGACCGUGAGGGGCGGCGCGUCCCCGCCGUCAGCCUCACCAUUUUCGCCAUCAUCACCGCGGCGUCGCCGUAGUCUCUCCGGUAGCGCUCGGGGGCCCAACAUUGACACUCCCCCGGAGCGGCCGCGAGGGGCGGCGCAUCCUCGCCGUCGGCCAUCUUCGUCACCACCACCGCAACGCCGGCCGUCCGUCCGCGCGCGCGCCGCGCACGAGGCCUCGUUUCGGUCGGCCGUGGCCAUCCACGCGCUGCUUGCGUCUGCUUCCAUCCGCGUUGCGCCUUGCUCCGACCGAAACACACGUUCAUUCCUCCACAUACCAUCUAUGCAAGCUAGCUAGAUGAAAGUCAAACAAUGGUCAAAUCAUUAGCCAUACACUUCCCAGAUAAUAGCCAUACACUCUUCCUACACUAUCCAGAUGCAAGUUAGAUAGUGCGUGUAUGAUGGCCAGAUAAUCCCUGUACAUUGGUCGGAUACGAACCAGAUAUAUCCCGUACACUACCCUAACAAAAGUCAGAUAAUCCCCAGACAAUGCUCAGGCAAUGGUGUGGCUGUGCCCGCGCCUGGUGGUUGCUGACCGGCUGUGCCCGCGCCUAGUCGCGCCGGCCUUCACCGCUCCGGCUGACCCUUCCAGCCGCCUCCCGCGCGGCUGCCCGUGCCGCCGCAGGCCACAGAUCCGCCUCGCACUGCUGCUGCCUGCCGUGCACGCGCCUCCGACAACAACGUCGCCUCUGACUCCCCUGCUGCCCCGCACGUCUGCGUACCCGCGCAAAAUCUGGCCGGCUGGGCUCCUCCGUCCAGCUCAUCACGCGGCUCCAGCUCCGCGCGCCUGUCGCCGCACCCGCUCGUGGCUGCCGGCUGCUGGUUCCAUCUCCUCCAUCCGCCGAGCCCGCCUCGCCUGGCCGGCUUUUCCGCCCACUUCCGCGUCCCGCCGCGGCACGGCCCUCUCCGCGCGCCAGCUCCCGGCCUGCUGGCUACGCCCACCACCCGGCCGGCCUGGCCGGCUCUCGCUGUCUCCUCUGCGGCGCCCUGGCUCCCCCCUGCCGCGUUCCAGCGUCGGCUCGCACUCGCAGCCGCGGCCGGACCCGGCCGCGUCCGCGCACGCCGGCUGCGACCGCUCCGCCUCCCCGGACCGGCUCCGCAUGCUCCGCCGGGCCGCCUCCCCGUGCCGGCUCGGUCGCGCGCGACCGCCUGCUCUGGCCGCCGGCUCCCCGCGCCUCCCAGCGUCUCGGGGCCGCCUGCUCCGCGUCUCCGCCCCGCGCGCCCGUUGGCCUAGUCGCCGCUCCCGCUCCGGCUGGGUCCCCCGCUCCGGCCGGCUUCGGGACGUCGCCGGGUCGCCUCGCACCCUGCGGGUCCCGUGCCGCGGCGGCCCGUGGCGCUCCGCCUGCGCGCUCGCCCCCCGAGCCGCCCACCAGCCGCGUCGGCCCUUGCCCUGCCUGGCCGACUGCUCCGCGUCCCUCCGCGCGGCUCCGCCCCGUCUCGCGCCUCCAGGCGCCCGUGGCCGGCUCCCCAGCCGGACUCGGCCUCCUACGCUGGCCGGCUCCGCCAUGCCUCCCGCUCCUGCUCGCGGCUCCGCCGCCUGCCUUCUCCGCCGCGACCCGGAUGGUCGGCUUCGCCGCCCGCCGACUCCACCGCGACCCGGACGGCCAGCUUCGCCGCCCGCCGGCUCCGCCACCACCCGGCCGGUCCUGCCCCCUGGCCCCUCUGCGCUCCAGGCCGACUCGCGUUGCUCAACUGCCGCGGCCGGGUGCUCGUUCAAAAGAAAGGGGGAGUGGGUGCCGGCGGGAGAAGAGAAAAAGAAAAGGGGCUGGAGAAGAGAAAAAGAAGAGAAGAGCCGUCUAAAAAAAGGGAAGAAAGAGCCGGCCGACUGGAGCUGAGCCGGCUGUCUGGGAAAGAGGCCGAGUGCCCAAUCCGGCAACCGAAAAAAAAGAAAAAAGAAAAAAGAGGAGGAUCCGACUUUGCAUAUUGCAGUCUAGCCAACCGCUCCGGUCAAACAGCCCGCGUUACCGCUAAGCUGGCUGGUUCGUCUGCCUGUUUCGCUGCCUGGCCGACCGACGAGUCGGUCCGUCGGAGCAAAGCCGGCUGACGAGAAAAAGAGAAGAAGACAAAGUAGUUGCUGGAGAUCCGGCCCGACUGCUCAGCAGUCAGCCCGAAUCUCGGGGGCUACACCCAGCGGGUGUGCUGACGCGCCCCCGCGAGGAAAAGAAGACAAAGUAGUCGCCGGGAGAUCCGGCCCGACUGCUCAGCAGUCGGCCCGGAUCUCGGGGGCUACACCCAGCGGGUGAGCUGACGCGCCCCCGCGAAGAUUGCAGACAAGUGAAUAGUUUUGUCUGGCUACCAGCAGCCGGCAGGAGAGAAAAAGAAGAAAAGGGGCAUUGCAAGACGCCUCGCCGCCUGGCCAGUCGAGCCUGACCGGCCAAGACCCCCCUUCAAGCACCCGGGGGCUCAAAGGCUACACCCAGCGGGUGCGCCGACGCACUCCGCGAGCGCCGAGCCGCGCCAGCUGUCUUCGACGAUCGCGACUACACGAAAAUCAAUGUGAGCUCCUCACCCGCUUGUUUUUUGCACCACGCGAGCAUGGAUAACCCCGAGCGAUGCUCGGAGGGCUAUCUUCACAUUUCAUUACAAUUGCAUCACUGUUCGCCCCGGCGCCAGCCAGAGUUGGCCCGGGGGCUGGCCGAUUGGCCUGAGACGUUAGUUCCCGCAGACGGCUUAGUAGCGUGCGCGGUACCAAAGGCCCAUUCUUAGUCACAGACCGCAGAGCGGCUAUCCGACUGGCAAGAGUGAACGCUGGAGGCCACCCACGCGAAAAACGUCCGGGAAGAAAAGCGGUUCGGGCGACCCGACCGUUUCCUUUACAAGUGAAGGAAAUAUGCCCUAGAGGCAAUAAUAAAGUUAUUAUUUAUUUCCUUAUUUCAUGAUAAAUGUUUAUUAUUCAUGCUAGAAUUGUAUUAACCGGAAACAUAAUACAUGUGUGAAUACAUAGACAAACUUAAUGUCACUAGUAUGCCUCUACUUGACUAGCUCAUUAAUCAAAGAUGGUUAUGUUUCCUAACCAUAGACAUGAGUUGUCAUUUGAUUAACGGGAUCACAUCAUUAGUAGAAUGAUGUGAUUGACUUGACCCAUUCCGUUAGCUUAGCACUUGAUCAUUUAGUAUAUUGCUAUUGCUUUCUUCAUGACUUAUACAUGUUCCUAUGACUAUGAGAUUAUGCAACUCCCGUUUACCGGAGGAACACUUUGUGUGCUACCAAACGUCACAACGUAAUUGUGUGAUGAUAAAGGAGCUCUACAGGUGUCUCCGAAGGUACUUGUUGGGUUGGCGUAUUUCGAGAUUAGGAUUUGUCACUCCGAUUGUCGGAGAGGUAUCUCUAGGCCCUCUCGGUAAUACACAUCACUUAAGCCUUGCAAGCAUUACAACUAAUGAGUUAGUUGUGAGAUGAUGUAUUACGGAACGAGUAAAGAGACUUGCCGGUAACGAGAUUGAACUAGGUAUUGAGAUACCGACGAUCGAAUCUCGGACAAGUAACAUACCGAUGACAAAGGGAACAACGUAUGUUGUUAUGCGGUCUGACCGAUAAAGAUCUUCGUAGAAUAUGUGGGAGCCAAUAUGAGCAUCCAGGUUCCGCUAUUGGUUAUUGACCGGAAACGUGUUUCGGUCAUGUCUACAUUGUUCUCGAACCCGUAGGGUCCGCACGCUUAAGGUUUCGAUGACAGUUAUAUUAUGAGUUUACAUGUUUUGAUGUACCGAAGGAGUUCGGAGUCCCGGAUGAGAUCGGGGACAUGACGAGGAGUCUCGAAAUGGUCGAGACGUAAAUAUUCAUAUAUUGGAUGAUAUGGUUAGGCCAAGGGGUCAAGCCCAUGAGGCUUUAGGUCGGUGCAAAAGGAGUUUUGCGGAGGCCAGGGGGCCAAACGUUGGAGACCCUGGCGUCUGGUCCUGGGCCAGACGCCGAGGCCCAUGGCGUCUAGGCCAGACGCCAAGGAUUGUGGUGUUUGGUCCUGGAGUCCGAGUGGGACUCUUGCCUUUUGGGCAAAACCGACUUUGAGGAGGCUUUUGCUCCAAGUUUCGACCCCGGGGCUCAACAUAUAAAUAGAGGGGCAGGGCUAGCACCAAAGACACAACAAUUGAUCCCUUAGAUCUCUUAGCCGUGUGCGGUGCCCCCCUCCACUAUAGUCCACCUCGAUAAUAUCGUAGCGGUGCUUAGGAGAAGCCCUGCGACGGUAGAACAUCAAGAUCAUCACCACACCGUCGUGUUGACGGAACUCUACCUCGACACUCGGCUGGAUCGGAGUUCGAGGGACGUCAUCGAGCUGAACGUGUGCUAGAACUCGGAGGUGCCAUAGUUUCGGUGCUUGAUCGGUCGGGCCGUGAAGACGUACGACUACAUCAACCGCGUUGUGCUAACGCUUCCGCUUACGGUCUACAAGGGUAUGUAGACAACACUCUCCCCUCUCGUUGCUAUGCAUCACCAUGAUCUUGUGUGUGCGUAGGAAUUUUUUUAAAAUUACUACGUUCCCCAACAACAAGUAUCUACUCGGUUGAAUCUGCUCCCAGACUCUGAGUACUGUACACUCCACUUUGCGGCCCACUCUCAGCCAUAGACCGCAGAGCGGCUGUCCGGUAGGCAAGAGCACAAGCCAAAAAGCGGAGGGAACACGAAAAAGAUUGAAGGGGGCUCGGACGAAACCGAGUCGGCACCCUCUACAUAAAACUUGCAAUGCUAAAAGCAAACAUUUGAUAUAUCUGCAUGGACUAACUUUUUCUUUUUCCACGAUCAUUUCCAUGAACACUCGCCAAAAAACCUCCGCCCAACUUUGCCAAGUUGCCCGGAGGCUUGGGGGCUACUGUCGGAGUAAUUGGACACAGAUACCCCGAAGACGGUGAGACGAUAUUUCAAGACAUCGGGGCUAGCAAAGCCCCUCGGUCCGACUGCCCGGCCACUUCUGCCGGCUCUCCGUCCGACUGCUCUGCCCGGCCGGCUGCCGGCUGCUGACUGCAACGACCAGCUGGCUGCCGACUGCAGCCCGAAGCGACAUCGACAAGACACCGACGAGACGACCAUAUCGCGGACAAGACCACCGUACCGCGACGCCAUCAUGUACAGUAACACUUGUCCCUGGGCACUAUUUAUGAAGUGACCCAGGGGACAAGUGUGACACUCACCCAUGCCCCCAUGCCACUAGCUAGCUUACAUACUAAGCUACCUCACACUAUAAAAGGAGACACACAUCCAUCCAUCCAGGGGAUGGGCUCUCACGCACACACCCACAAGCAUGCUAGCUAGCAAGAGAGCUAGCUAGCCAUCCAUCCAUCCAUCCACACAACACACACACACACGCAUGGCACUCACAUGCUCACGGCCAUGAGCAUGGCCGGCCACUAGCAUGCCUCAUAUAGGCAUAUACCAGAUCAGAUGCACUUGGCACUGAUCCCAGAUACAGCUUCAGGAGCACUUUGUACUGCCCAAUUUACACCCCAGAUAGAUACACUCAGA